UACGGGGGGAGCAAGCGUUGUUCGGAUUUACUGGGCGUAAAGGGCGCGUAGGCGGCCAGCACAAGUCAGUUGUGAAAUCUCCGAGCUUAACUCGGAAAGGUCAACUGAUACUGUGCGGCUAGAGUGCAGAAGGGGCAACUGGAAUUCUCGGUGUAGCGGUGAAAUGCGUAGAUAUCGGGAGGAACCUCGAAAGCGAAGGCAGCCGGCUAGACGAUGAUUGACGCUGAGGGACGAUAGCGUGGGUAGCAAACAGG
rnacentral:rRNA from 1 species